CUACGGGAUGCAGCAGUGAGGAAUAUUGCACAAUGGGGGGAACCCUGAUGCAGCAACGCCGCGUGGAGGAUGACGCAUUUCGGUGUGUAAACUCCUUUUAUAUGUCAAGAAAAUGACGGUAGCAUAUGAAUAAGCACCGGCUAACUCCGUGCCAGCAGCCGGCGGUAAUACGGAGGGUGCAAGCGUUACUCGGAAUCACUGGGCGUAAAGGACGCGUAGGCGGGUUGGAAAGUCAGGUGUGAAAUCCUACAGCUUAACUGUAGAACUGCACUUGAAACUUCUAAUCUAGAGUAUGGGAGGGGGAGAUGGAAUUAGUGGUGUAGGGGUAAUAUCCGUAGAUAUCACUAGGAAUACCUAAAGCGAAGGCGAUCUCCUGGAACAUUACUGACGCUAAGGCGUGAAAGCGUGGGGAGCAAACAGGAUUAGAUACCCCGGUAGUC
rnacentral:rRNA from 1 species